UGGUGGAGCGAUUUGUCUGGUUAAUUCCGACAACGAACGAGACUCUGGCCUAUUAAAUAGUUCGCCGAUUCCGAUCUGUCGGCGUUAACUUCUUAGAGGGACAAGUGGCUUUUAGCCACGCGAGAUUGAGCAAUAACA
rnacentral:rRNA from 1 species